UACGUAGGCAGCGAGCGUUGUUCGGAAUUACUGGGCGUAAAGAGUGUGUAGGCGGUGCUCUAAGUUCGGUGUGAAAUCUCCCGGCUUAACUGGGAGGGUGCGCCGGAAACUGGAGUGCUCGAGCGUGGGAGAGGAAAGCGGAAUUCCUGGUGUAGCGGUGAAAUGCGUAGAUAUCAGGAGGAACACCGAUGGCGAAGGCAGGUCUCUGGGCAUUAACUGACGCUGAGGAGCGAAAGCAUGGGGAACGAACAGG
rnacentral:rRNA from 1 species